UCGGCCCCGGCACGGCGGGGAGAGGGAGCGAGCGCCGGAGGGUGCCCCAAAACCUCCCCCAACCCCUGGCCCUGUACUCCCCAGAACCUCCCCCAAUCCAUGGCUCUGUGCUCCCCCCAGAGCCUCUCUAGCCCAUGGCCCUGCGCCCCGAAAACCUCCCCUAGCCUACUGCUCUGCUCCCCCUCACCUAACGUCUGCCAGUUCCGUUCUCCGUCUCAAGCCUCCCCCAGCGCAUGGCUCUGUUUAUCCACCCCCCGCCUUCCCUAAGGCUGUGCCUCUGUUUAUCCGUCACCCCCCCACCCGUUCCAGCCCACGGCUCUGUUUCUUACCCCUUCUUCCCCCCCACCGCCACCCCACAAAUAGCCCUGUCCCCGCCGCCCCGCCUCCUCCAUGGCCCUGCUCCCCCUCAUCUCCCCCAGCCCAUGGUCCUCCUCUCCCCCCGUACCUUGCACCCCGUGCCCCCCAGCCCAUGGCCCGCGGGUCCUUGGGAGCUGCUGCGGCCCCGCUCCGGGCUGCCUGCCCUUCCUCCACCCCUCGUGGCUGGCGUUUUCAGGGAGCUGGAGGUGUUCUGGCUUGGUCCCCAUCAUUUCCUCGGUGCUGAAUGCCCCGGGUGGCUCAUCUGGUGGGAUUUGCGGGGUUUAGAAGUUGUUCUGCUACUCUGCAGUUCUGCUACUGCUGCUGUGCGGGAGAGCAGCGGGCUCCUUCGGGCUGGGGUACGGUGGGAAAGGUGAUGCUCGUUUUGCCUGCAGAAGGGUUCGGGAAAAUGAAAUUUUCUUCGGCGCUCCCUGCAGCAUGUGAUGGAGACUGUGGGGCUGUGGUUUGGUGGUGUGAAGUGAGUAAACAAGACCUGCAGCUGGGUUGUGGAGCGGUAUCAGUCUGUGCAGUAGUGUAAAAACAGGUCGGGAGGCAAGAUGGAGAUAACAGCCCUCUAAGCUUAGAUUUAUGUGCAUCUAUCCCCGCAGGAGCACUACAGAGGCUUGAACUGCUUAGGAUGCACAAAAAUAAGGAAAGAAAUCACCAGCGUAGGGAAGUCUGCAGAUAUUUUUUCUUAACUGUUGGUGGAGUUAAAAAGAGCAAACGGUAUUGGCUAGGAAUGUGCAUUUUGUGGAGAAAUGUAUGACUUACGAUAACUUGCUGAGCUUCACGUCCUGUGCUUUUCCAACUAGAGUAUCUUGUCGCUGUUUUGGAAGGGAUUCAAGGUAACAGAGUGUGAAGUACAGCAGCUGAGAUAGAGUUGCCUAAAACCGUCUUGUGUUGGUGGCCUAGCUGGUCUUUAAAUGAUAUGUAAUCAAAAAGUCCCGAUGGAAAAGCUGCUAUUGAGAUUGUUGCCUGAAAGAUUUAUUUGUGUGCCUCUUGAGCAGUGGAGCUUGAAUAGACAGACGUCAUGGUUCUUGCAGUUAACAUUUUGGGUUUAGUGUGUUGUGUGGCACGGCAGGGAGGCUGGCAGUGCCUGUCACUUACUGCAGAGCAGUCCCCAAGUCAGUAUCUACAUCUGACCAAGUUUGUGGUAGAGAUUUGUGGAUAUUUUCUGUUUUAUUAGUCACUACUGAGAUUAUGGUGUGGGGCUGUCCCCUCCUGAGGGUGCUCUGCCCUUUUCUUUCCUCUCUUAAGGAGUUUAAAACUUACUAAUAUAUCUGGUGGGAAGAUUAGCACAAGCACCGUCCCUUUCUGUGUGCUGCUGGUGUUUGGAUUUCUGCGGGAUGGAUGAUGCCUUCAGCAGAGCAUUUUUUCAAGUGGUAAUUAAUACAUGUUUAUGUGGUGUAAAUGUGUUUGUGAAUAAGAUGCUUGAGCUCUAGCGACGUGCCAAGGUUGUGUGGAAGUGGGAGGAGGACGUGAAGCACUGGAUGUAGUUAUCUCCUUAGCAUGUGACUCGUGUUAGUCUUUUAUGUAUUAAUGAUUUCUGUUACCUAACUGUGGCUCAGCUCAUUUGUCAAUCACAAAAACUUGAAAACCAAAAUAGCAGUCUAAAAACACGUUUCAAGAGCUGAGAGGAUGAGUAAAACCUUCACAGAUAAUUUGCUGUCUAACUUUUAUUGGACGCUGAGUCAUGAGAGCAGUAGCUCUGAUAGAUGGGAACGAUUUAUCUAGAUAAUGAGUGUAUUGUAUGUCUUCUGAGGGCUCUUCAGCUAGCUCUUAAAUAUUUAAAAAUUGAAUAGUUGCAGAGUUAGGGAUUUGUCCUCACCCCUUUAGAUUACAACUCUACCAGGCUGUAUUUUUUGAUAAACCUCCUUUAGCUAACUCUUUCUCACUAAUAGCAGCUUUUAAAUCCGUGUGGUAGUGCCAUGUGUUGCAUGUAGGAAACACAGGCAUUUGGAUUGUGGUGGUUGCCUUCCAAUUCUGCUGCAAUGAGUUUAGUGUUGUACUGAUACUCCCCAAAUCAUAAAAUCUUUUAACCUCGGGGUACUUGAGGUUCACUGACAGGAAUUGUGUGGUUGGCAUGUGGCUGCUGUGAGAAAAUACGAAGUAACUUCCUGGAAGAGUUCCUUCUGCUGCAAGCAGAACUGUACCCCGUGAAGAGAAUAGACUUUUAGUUCAGGCUGCUUUAAACAUAAACUCCAACCUGCAUGUACUCCUUGAACUGAUUAUUUAAUACUCUCCUGCUGAAGAGAAGAGGUUCGACAGCUCUGGAGAAGAACAUGCUUGGAAUCUUAAGCAAUUCAGGACUUUCAGUGGAGUUCCUAUUACUGAUUCCUAGAGUUUUCUUUCCUAUGUAGAGUGGCACUGUCUUUCCAGCACUUUGGAUUUUAUUUGCAAUGUAAACCCUCUUCCUUUGUUACAUUUGGAGUUCAUAGGAGUGUCUAGGCAUACUUGCUGGACCCAAAGACUGUUGAAAUAAUCUGAAAUUCAAACUCCCCUUUCAGCAGCAGUUGUUUAUAUUCAAGUACAAGAGUGCUAUCUAAUAUGAAGAGAGCAAGUGCUAAACUGGCUCCUAAAUUGAUUUGUCCUUACUUUUUUGCACAGAGAUUUCUUGCUUUGUAUUAUUCUAAGUUACAUGCGAUACUGGAUAAAACUGUUCUGGGUGAUAGUGCUUCUUUAGUUUUUCCUCAGUAGAUAAAGGUGCUAAAAUAAAAGUGGGCUGCUUCCAGGUUCUUGCAUGUCUCAGAGUUGCAGAGUCAACAGUUCAAAAGCAUUUGUUGUGCAUUUUUUUGUAGGAAAUUAAUGCUAAGUAGCCAGUCAGUUUUAGAGUAACUUGGACUGUUAUGUUAGUUUAAUGACAGGGUAAUAUUAUUAGUCUGGUACACAGACUUUACCAUAGUAAAAUCCGCCUUCCCAUGUUCUGUAGUUCACAGCAGUGCUGCUUGAUCAACAUUAAACAUUCCUUAUACCAAGUAUGUUGUGUGCUUAGAAACAGGGAGAAAAAAUAUGAAUUGCCUUCGUAUUUUGCGUGUGGUCUUUAGGUUACUGAAAAUAUCUUGAGGUUCCACGGUGUGGUGAUCUGCAAGGGUAGGUAACAGCUGAAUAUGUCAGUUCCGGUUUCUCACCAUCCAGGCUGAGACUAGCACUAUAUUUUUAUAAAUUUUAGCAUGAUGGGAAACCAAGGAAAUAUGGUAAAAAAACCUAAUUUUGAAUGCUUAAUGAAAAGACUUUAUAACACUUUAGCCAAGAUGAUGUAGACACUAUUAAUAGUCUAUAGAAAUACUAAUAGUCUUAGUACUAACAUGCUGAUGCAGCAGGUGUUGAGCAUCUCAAGUAGUUAUUAUUUAUUUAAGGGGAAAUUAUUGCUUUAAUUGGUAAGAAUGCCAUACCAGACAUAAUGCAGGUAUGAGUUGCUGUGUUCCAGAGCUUUUUGUGAUCUUUAUUCUAGUUUUUCUGUUAAAAGUAAAAUUUAAAAAAAGCAUGUUGUAAAUCCUAGUUUUAAUUUUUGAAAUGAUGAUUAUUAAGUGAUUAUCGAGAAAUAAUCUAAAUCUUAGGGAAAAUUAGAUUGUCCAUUUGGAAAUAACUUGCUCAAAGCAGUGCAAAAAUACUCUGGCAAGUGUGUGGGUGGGAGAAAAUGGGAGACGGUACAAACCUUGCUUUAUUUUGUUUUUCCUUCUGGUCACUUUUAAAAGUACUGUUUCCUGAAAACAAAGUAAUUCAGGGUGGAGCUAAAACUCUUAAAGUACAGGAGCCUUAGAGGCAUCUGAUUGUUGCAGCUCUCCAACUUUGCAGCCCCUUGAAUGCUGGCAUUGAGUAUGUUGAGAACAGUGUUAGAGCAGGAGUCAUACUCAGUCUUGCAGUUGAGGCAGCAGUAGUGUCUUAACACUUCUGCUGCUAUUGAAGGCUGAGACAAAUGACUUGGAAAAUACAUGUGCUGCAAAAGCAUUGUUUUCUCUGGGAAAUACAAGGCUGCAACUGUUCCAGGCCAGCUUAGACAGGGCUUGGAGUAGGAGCAACCUGGGAUAGUGGAAGGUGUCCCUGCCCAUGCUGGGGCAGGUGGAAUUGGAUGGGCUUUAAGGUGCCUUCCAAUCCAGACCAUUCAGGGAUUUUCUGGGUACUUGUUAUAUUAUUUCAGUACAUCAAAGGAAUGAUGGCAUAGUUCAGCUAUUUAGGCAUCACUGACCAAAGAAAUUCCUGGAUAGCACAUAAAACAAUUGCAUCUAGAAACCAUAAUAGCAAUUGGCCUCUUAGAGCUUUUGUUAUGUUUGCAUCGUGGAACUGUGGCUCAAAUGAUGUAAUUUCACAGGAUCAAUCUGAUUCCCCAAACAGCCGUCUUGUUUCAGGUUUCUGGGCGAGCGCAGCGGAGCAUGGGAAUGUGCUGGUUUUGUUGGUUUGCUGAGGGAUUAAAUCAGGUGAUUCAGGUGUGGGGAAUGUGCCCACAGAGCUGGUGAGUAAGUGUAUCCAGGUAAAUUCUGAGCUUGCACAAGCACAGUAAGCAUCUACUUGGGUGAGGAUUGUUUCCUGUUGCAGCCAGGGGUGUUGGGGACAAGUCUCUUAAUGCCCUUUUCUGCUGAUUGUGCACGUGCACCUUUGUGCCCUGAGCUGUUAACCUGGCUCGAAGAUAACAUUCAGAGGGUGCUUAGCACUGAGGGUGCUGAGGCCCUGGCGCAGAGUGCCCAGAGAAGCUGUGGCUGCUACAUCCCUGCAGGUGUCCAAGGCCUGGCUUGGAGCAACCUGGGAUAGUGGGAGAUGUCCCUGCCCGUGGCAGGGGCUGGAAUGGUAUGAUCUUGAAGGUCCCUUCCAAACCAAACCAUUCUGUGACCUACUCUUAUUGUUUGUAGACCUCCAGUGUGAAGAAGUGGGUGAAAUGCAGCACAGUUUUGCUGUUUGUGUGGCUCAUCUGCAAAUGGAAAGAUAUUUCUUUUUAAUGUGGAAGAUGUCAGAUUCCAGUGUGUGGGUAAACAAGAGGAUUCAAAUGCUUGAUAUUAACUGUACUUGCAUGGUAAACUAAAAACUAGGUUUGACAGUUGUCUCUGAAGUUCCUGGAAUGUCUUAUUCUGGCUUUAAAUUAUAUGCUUCACUGCUAUUCUCUGCAAUAGCUGCAUGAUUAAAUAUCACAUGCUUUUGAACAAGUGCAGAAAACUUACAGAUCAAGAGGAAAGCCUUAAACCAUUAACUUGUGAGGAUAACUUCUUUCUCCGGGGCAAAAAAAAAAGGAGACCUGCUGUGGAUCAGCUGAUGUUGAUGGAGCAAAUGUAUAAUGAGGCUUUAGAGUUUUCAGUGAGUGUGCCGGCCCUCUCCCACCGUUUGCUUUGGGGAGUUAGUUGAAAGCAGCAGGCAGUAAUGCUGAUACAAGAGUUCGUGCUGCUGUGUAUACAUAUCACUGUUUUUAUUUCUAUUUAAAUUGGCAAAUGAGUCCUACACCCUAAGAGGGGGCACUCAGCAGAGCAGCAGAUAGGACAUUGGAUUUGCUUUUGCUCAGCUCAGGCACUUGGGAAAAGGGAACGCUUUGGAAGUUGGGCUGCUGUGUUUGUGUUCUGCAUAGUACUUAGCAGUAACAAAAAUUUGUGGUUUCAAGGAGGUGACAUCGGUGCUCAAGCUAAGUAUCUUCACAAAACUUAUUUUCCAAUUAGGAGAAGUGCUUGUUUUCCAGGACUUGAGUAACCACGGUCUUAGCCUUAACUUUGCCACCUGAAGGAAUAGGUUUGUAUCUUUGAUCAUGCUGUGAAAACUGAGGUGAGAAUAUUAGAUAGGUCAUUAAUUGCUAAUAUUUAAGGGAUGCACUUAGGCAGUAUGCUAAGGCUGCAGUAUGUUUGUAAGUGAAAUUAAAAAAUCCCACAUUGUUUUUGGCUAAUGAGAGAGGCUUGGAGUAGUACCGGGCAGUUGAACAACUCCCCAGACUUCAGGAAUACUCUGUUCUCUACUGCGUCACCACUGGGAUUGGUUUUGUCCUUGCCAAUAAGCAAGAUGAAUGGUAGUGUUGGUAUUUUUAGCAAAUCUUUGAAGAAAAGGUAAUGUAAGCUCCAGAAAAAUCUCAGAACUCAGUUGCACCUCAACUCUGUGACCCUUUACUGCGAGUGCAUUUCAAAUAUCGCUUUCUGCAAUUGUUAGUUUUUAUGUGAGGGGUUUUCUGUGUGACCUUUGUACACACAGCUUUAUAUCAGCCGUGGAACAAAUCCAAAAUGAUUGCUUACUAAUCUACGGUGGAUAAAGUUUUCUGUUCUGAGACAGCAAGUGGUAUAUUCAAUAGUUUUGAUAAUCCUAAUGUCUGUGGGAGUAAGAGAUUUGUCUUCUGUUAUAUUAGUUUUUGUCCUUGACUGCCUUUAAGCACUGUUUGUACUUUGACUCACCUGUACUGAGGGAGAACUGUGGCUCAGCUUCUCUUUUGUGUUCCUGCCUGUCCUCACACCAUGAAAUAGAGCAAAGACAGUGCCAGAUGUGGACAAGUUGGGAUGCUGCCGAUUUUUGAUGUUUGACUUCUGUGGUUUCUAUACCAAUGGAGAGUGAAAAGGAGGGUGAUUUUAACCUAGUGUCUGUAAGGAGAGACCUUUCAACUACUUCCUAGUAGUUUUUGAUCUGAAGUUGUUUGCAGUUAAUUUGUGCUUCUCUUGUAAUUGUGCUAAGGUUAUAAAUGCAGCAUAAAUCUUGUGAUCCAUGUUAGAAAUAAGGUAACGUCUCAUUUAGAGGUAUUUUGGCUACCAGCAAUCUAUGAUUUUUUAGUAAGUUUAUUUUAAAUUUUAAUUCCAAGGUGGAAACAGUGAGGAUGUCAGGUUUCCUUGGUGGUGGUGAGUCCAUUGUGGGCAGCUGGCAAUUCCAAAGCCCUCUGGAAGUAUUUAAUAAUUUUUUUCUUAAGUGGGUAGAAGCAGAUGUGUUAUUUAAUCAGUAUGUGCACAUUCAGCCUCAUUAAUUCAAUUUCAGGAUCCUGACUAAUCUAUUUGGAGCCUGCAUAGUGGUAGAGAUGACAGGGUGUUAAGAUAGUGGUGUAUUUCUAACCAGAGAAUGACUUGUUCUUUCACUUUUCUUUCUUGCUGCUUAAAUAAGCUUCAGUUAACCACUUCAGGAAGCCAGAGCUAAAACCACAGGGUUGAUCUGUGUGAAAGAUGUAAUUUCAGUGUUUCCUUUGUAACUUUACUAGUUUACAUAGUUGGAUAAUGAAUGUAAACCCAAUGAUGAGACAGUUACUUUGUUUGGUAAUUUUCCCUUUUAUCCCAAAGAAAGAUACAGGCAAGCAAAGGGACUCUGGGGAACACUGGAAUUGAAUCUGUAGUUUUUGAUGUAUUGCUUUGUGUUUGUCUGUGAGAAGCUUAAAUUUUUCAAAUUUUUUUUUCGUUAUUUUUAAAGGGAUUGAGGAACUGUUUAUAGUUUAGACCAAAUGAAUGCUCAACAUGACUUUAACUCGAAACCUCGACUUGAACUUGGUGGUGCUUACAUUUACAAAAAGGAACAACAUCCGUGGUUUUAGUUUAAAUUUCUUAUUAAUUCUGCCACUGUCUCUAUAAUUUACAACAGUCUUCUUCAGUGCCAUAGCCAGAAGUAGGAAUGACACAGCCAGUCAGUCACUGUUGCAGGGUUUUGUACUCGGUUAUACAGAUACAGUAGGUUCGAAUGUGAGAGAUUCUUAUCUUUGUUUGAGCUUCUCCUGCUCAGGCCAGCAGCCAGGACGCCUGUCUUUUUGGUAUCACAGCAACUGUGCUCUCCAGAGGAAUUAUGCUAAAAGCAUGGCACUGGAAUGCCCAGACAGCAAUCAUUUAAAUGGAUCCUAUUUAACCUGGCAAGUGCUGGUGUGUCUGAGUUAACUCCUUGUGUGCCAGGAGCUGUUUGCAUCACUUGGGUGACAUCCCAACUCAGGUGCCUGGCAUGUGAAUUUGGAGCUAGCCAGUGUGUGGACAAAUGAGGAAUUUUUACCUGGUUAGAAUCAUCUUGGACUUGAAAGUUUUAGUGUUGAAGAGAUGUUACUUCUCCUAGUUUUCUUUUUUUUUUGUUUGUUUGUGUUUUUUUCCCCCUAAAUUCUCCCCCAGUAUCUGUGGAACCCUUUGUUAUAGCAUCUCUAAGCUGUGUUGGAGAUGUUUAGGUUGGAUUUUAGGAAAAGGUUCUUCUCCCAGAGGAUGCUGGGCACUGCCCAGGCUCCACAGGGAAUGGUCACAGCCCCAAGGCUGCCAGAGCUCCAGGAGCAUUUGGACAAUGCUCCCAGGAAUGCCAAGGGUGGGAUUGUUGGGGUGUCUAUGCAGGGUGAUGGUUGGACCCCAUGAUCCUUGUGCAUCAGGAUUAUUCCAGCUCAGGAGAUUCUGUGGUUCUUGCUGUGCAAGAUCCGACAGUGUUUGGACAGCUGCUGGUUUUGCUCCAGCAGUGAAUUUCCUCAAAGAUACACCAGCCAAACUCCACCCAACUCCAUAACUAGGGAGGUGAGGAAGGAGAUUGAAACGUCUAAGGUUGUGAAUGAAUUGAUAAACAUGAAGUUGGAAUAUAUGUCCAGGUCCAGGAAACAAUCUCAAGUAGGCUUGCCUAGAAAUUUACGGAGGGUAGUUUUACAGCUAUGUAAAUGCAUUAUAGAGAAGAUCUAGGAGUGUUCUCAAAGCAUAAAAAUGAUUGUGGCUUUGCAGUUUAAAUCUGCUGUUUUGAACUAGGUUAGCAGGUGCAAAUUGAUGGAAUGGUCCUUUUCCCUCCUGUUUUCUACGCUGUUACAGCCAGAAUUACUCAUUCAGUGGAAUUGCUUGAGGUGGCUUGAAGUAAUUUUCAUGUCUCAAAGGCAAAAAUCAGGUCAUCCCUCAGCCUUCCAGUGGCAGCUGUAGCACAUGAAUGCAGCCAAGAAAUCCAUAAAGCCAACUUAUAGCAGUAGGAACCAAUGGCACUUCUUGUCAUAGACUUGGCCUAAGAAAUCGCCUGUGUUAUUUCAAAAAGUUGAUCUGACUGCAGGGUGCAAAGGAUCUCUUGGAAACUUAUUUCAUCCAUUUAGUAAUGCUGGAAUAGUAAGAAAGAGUAAUUGAACUGCCAUUGGAUUCUUAGGUUAGAAUAUUGAUGUCUUUUCUUUUGUAAAUUUUACAUAGUGGUCAUAGUUAGGCUUCAGUGACCGAGUUGUUCCUGAUGUGGAAGGAGAAAACAUUAACUAACAUUAGGUUGUAGUAAACUGUUACAGCCAUUGUACCGCUCAUGGAUAGACCCCGGUAGGUGUUUAUCUUUAGGUAAGCUGGUGUGACAUGACAAAUUUGGCCCGUUAAAUAAUCAAAAGUCAGAGAUAGGCGCUUACUAUCACUGAAGUGACGUAUGGCUUAGUAUCUGCUGCUGUGGGGAGGCAGGUUAUGGAGAAGGAGAAAGAUGGGCUGUAAAUCUCUGAUUUGGAUCACUGUUGAGCGCUAAAAUUAGAAUGGUAGCUUGGAAAGUCUCUACAGAUGUGGGUAUUUGAUUGUGAGAAUUCUGAUAAUAAAAAUCACUUUGUAAUGAAUUGCACCAUCUCUGUUUCUGGCCAGAAGGUGUUAUUGGUUGUGCUGCCAAGGGUACAGUUGUCAACUAUCAAAGCUAAUAAAUAAUGACAAUGAAGGAAAAUAAUGUGCCAUUGCUGUCAUGAACAUAAAAUCCGUGAUAUAGCAGAGUUUAAAGUGCUUUUGUAGUAAAGCUUUGUUCAUAUUUUCAAUACAUGCUAAAGAAUUAAUAGGAUUAUUUUCUUUCUACUGUGAAUAAAGCCAAGUAAUAGUUUUCCUUCCUGAAAUUAGUUUUGGAUUGCUGUUCAGGCUUGGGGUUGAACGAUCUCUCUGGAUCCAUGAGCCAGCUUCUGAGCCCCUGCACAGGGUGGUGACAUGAGUGAUGGAUAAUGAAACUGUAAGAAUUGACAGUUGUGCUGGUAUGUUCUGAAUACAGCAGAAAUCUAUAGCAGCAGCCUGAGUGCAGGUGGGACCUUGCCGGAGUGGUUUAUCAUUUUGCUACGGCAGUUGUGCUACUUGAAUGGCAAUCUAUAGUUCCACCCUUGGAGCUGAGUAAAUGAAAGCAGGGAGGAGCAGAAACCAGCUGAGGAAAACGAUUCCUAUACCCUGAGGCAACUCAUCCAUUUAGUCCCCUUUCAUUAUUUUUCUCAUGCAAAAUAAGAGUCUUAUUUUAACCUGCAUUAAUUAAGCUUCAAAAAUGCCUCACCUCUAUGAGAUUGUGGCAUUUAAUAGCAUCUGGAUGUACAACAGUACAUGAGUUUAUGGAUGGAAGGAUCCAGCUAUUGACUUGUUUGAAAAUGAAAUUUAAGUAGGGUGUGGCACAGCUUGCUGCAGGCAAAAGCUGGGCUGAAUAUCCAGGCGUGUGACCCUGAGCUGGAGGGAGGGAGUUGUGUGGCAUCUGGGUGCCAGGUGAUCAAUACCUGCAGCAGACACCUGCCUUGAUAGCUGCUGAUAAAAGUAGCAUUUGAGCUGAGCUCAGGAGCCCUAGGUGGCUUCCAGGAAGACAUUACUUCUCUGGGAAUAUUUUGCUUACUGGAACAUCUUGCUUGCCGCAUAAUAGGAUUCAGUCAGAGGGUUGCUGGUUUGAUUUAUGAUGCUAAUUGGCGUGGUAGUUGAUGUGAACUGCAUGUACUAAUUGCUCACUUGCUAAUCCUCUCCAAAUUAUCUGACAAAAGCUUUUAGGAUGGAGCAUUACAUGUGUUUUAAAACUGGUCUGCAGACAAAUGUCAACAAUUGGGAGCCCUUGUUUUGCUUUAAAUGCCGAAUUCAAGUGCUGGUCCAUUUUAUUCAUUGUAAUGUUAAAAGAGAAAUUCAGUUUCUUUCAUGUAGUCUCGUUGUUGUUCUUUGUGGGAUUUAAACAACAGCUGAAAAAUAUUGCAGAACAUGCUCCUCUCCCCCCACCCAAGCUGGAAAAUUGCCAUCAUCUAUACGGUAAUAGUUUUUAUGUGUUAUCUAUAUGGUGAAGGCAGAGUAUGCAUGUCUGUGCAGCUUUCGGUAAUGGAAAACACGGUGUGCCUUUUGAGUUGGUGGUGGUGAUGUCAGUGCAGCAGAAACUGCAGUGGGAAAACAUAAGGAAAAUAAAAUGGAGAUACUCAUGCAGUGUUGGGGUAAUGAAGGUGUUUUGGCUGUGAUUCUGGUAGAGGAUAUGUGCUUUGACUAUUUUACUGUGCAAACCAAUGAAGUUUAAUAUAAACCAGAGAGAUUUUGUAUUUCCAGGCUGAUAGGCAAAAUCCUGAAUUUAGAUUAAGGAAUGCAGUAGUCUAAGGAGAUGACUUUUACCUUUUCUUAAAUAAGACGAGCUGUUUCAGGAGGGAACUGAUUCUUCAGAUUGAGAAUUGUACAGGCUGCUCUCUGUGUGAAUGGGGAGGAUUGCUUUGCUUCUGUAACAUAUUGGAUUAAAGUGGGUGUUUGACAAAAUGAACAUUAAUCUAUCUCAAACUUAAUAUUUCAAGGUGAUUUAGACACUUUAAUCAUAUAAAAUUUUCUAAUUUGAGCCUGACUGGCUUGCUCUCACAGCAAGCACUGAAAUGAGAUUACAUACAGCUGAAAAAAAUUAGUCAAUUUGAAAGCAAAAAGCAUUUAAAUACAGGUGUUUGGCUGUGAUUUGAAUAUAGCCUGUCAACAGCAAGAGGCAAAAUACUUCAGUGACCUAAAAAGUGCAAAUAUGUCCCUUUAGGGAUUACUUGUUGUUAGGUAAUGACAUGUUAUUAAAAUUAAAGCUCACAUUUAUAUCCCUUGAUUUGCUAACUAGGCCAAUAGCUUUUUAAAAACUCGGUUGAUAAAUGGGGAAAAUGAAUUUUGUCAGAAUUUGUAUGGACGCAGGUAGCUACUGCUGGUGUUUUGGAUGAUUAUUUUUUAAAUUAAUAUGUAAAUAAGGUGGUGUACUCAGGCUGAACCAGCUACCUGCUAGAAGCUUGAAUACAAAUACUGUCAUCUUGGAAGAAAGCAACACUAGAGUGUUUUAGAAGUUGUCUGGUAUUCCUGAAUUCCAGUGAAAGGUGCUGUCAGAGGAACCUGUGUUACCAUGCAAUGUGGAGCCAUUUCUCCUCCUUGCCUGACAUUCUGCAGCUGGUUUUGUGUAGUUCUCGUACUGUUUCUCUACUCAGCAGAUGGAAAUAUUGCCUGCUAGGUAAGUGGUGAUAUUUGAUAAAAGCUGGUGAGUGAUGCCACAUUAGGGAAAUGAAAUAUGGAUAAAUUACAGUUACGAAAGGGAUUAGAUCUUUUUCGAACAAGAUCAUUGAAGCUGUAAGUAAAAAAAAAAAAAAAAAAAUCCAAAACAACAACCUGCUACAAGCAGGGAUGAACACAGUUGUAUGAAUCUGUGAUCUUCCUGAGAAUGAACCAUGUCUAUUAUUUCAGCAUGCUCUUGUUUGCCUCUGUGAACUUGAUGCCAUCAAUAAAAAGGGUGUUCCUAGCUAGGUAUGUCAGCAGAGACUGGACAUUUAUUGUCCUCAGGGUAAUAUAUUCCCUGGAUAGGGAUUAUGGUACAGGUUUCACUGGGAAUAGUGUGUGAGAACACUACAGAGUGCCAUAAAAACCCUCUCCUACCCUGUGACUCUUUGUUUGGUUGGUUUCUGCUGUAAUCACUCUUGGGUCCUUGGGCUGUGUGAUGGGUCUGCUCUGAGGAUCACCUCUGGAUUGAGGAAAAUUGUUACCUGUGGGUGUAACAGGUACUUCUUACACAUCCAGGUGUUAAAAACUAAAAUCAAGAGCAAGUGCAGUGGGCUUGAACCUGAUUGAAAUUUACAUAAAGGCCUAGAAAAACAAUGGUGAUGGCAAUAGGAUGACACUGAUUAUGAACUGUCCUCCAGAUUUUGUAUUGCCAAAUUGUUGUUGUAUUACUGUCCUUUAUAGACUCAAAUAAAACCGCAAAUAAUUAGACAAGUCUAAUUUUCGUCCAGUUUUUAAAGCAGAAUGUAAAACCUAAGUCUUAGGAGAUAGUACAGUAAGCAUCUUGAAAAUGUUGCCUCUGUAAUAGUGACAUGGGCUCAUCUGCUGGCAUCCAUGGUGGGGUUUUUGUGUUUUGGAUGCUGUGGCCAAGCUACUGCUGGAACAAUUCCACAUUGAGCAGAGGGAACUGAAAGCCCAGUGUGGUUGCUGCUGGCCCUGGAUCUUGAAUCAAUUGCUAAAAAUUUACAUGCAGAUGUGUCUGUCUGCAACCCAAAACACCUGAGUGAAAACCAAUGGACUUGGAAAGCCCGGGAGCUGUGUAUGAGGCAGCUGUUAGGUUUGAUGUCCUUGGCAAUGUGGACAAGUAGAAGCUCUGAUGCUGAUGAGGGAUGUGACAUGGAAAACCAUCAUGGGGAGAGACCAUGGGAUUUGUUUUCGAGAUGUAAUAGCUUGUAAGUAAUUCCUAUGGAGCUGUAAAAAUGGAUUUCAAUGGUCAUAUAUGCUUGAAGUAUGGGAUAGUGAGUGGUUUCCUCACUUGCAAGGAGCAUUUUUUGCUCAGAGUUUGCAUCCAAGCAGGACAAACAGGCCAUUGAAACAUAGGUGAUGCCUGGAAUGUAGCAGCUUCAGUGUACAUUGCUUUUACUCUCCUAAACUUCUUGAGUGCUUGCAGGCUGUUGGCUUUUGGAAGCAAAAAGAAUCCAAAUUCUUGUAAUAGUCAAAGACAGGCAGCUGUUCUGGGAGACUGAGAUAGGAACUAAAAUGACAUUACUUGAGAGAAUUUUGAAGGCUUCUAGAUUAUCACUUUUGUGUGCUUGAAUGUUGUGAAGAUUUGCUGGAUCUGGUUCUGCUUCUUGUCCCUGUGAUUGCCAACUUUCAGACUAAUUCCUAUAUUUAGGCAUUUAUGUGUGCUGUGUAAUAAUGAGCAGCUGAUGUAAAAGCAAAUAGUUUUAACUGCUUGGCACUUGUUUAAUUUGCAUCUUGCAUCCACUUGUCAGCAAAUGUAUGAAUUUGUGGUUAACUUUACCUGUUUAAAAUAAAACCCAGUGUAUGAAUUCCUUUAAAAGAACAAAUCAAAUUACUUGUAUUUAUGUUGCAUUCACGUGGGAGGUGAUGGGGAAUAGAUAAGAGCUAAUGACAAAUUGUGAUACAAGAUGAAAAUAACGGAGAUUGAAAAUCAGUUCUGUUUUCUGUAACAUGUUUUUCGUCCAGGGGCUGACUUCUUGCAUUAAAACUAUUUUAGCUUCUGCUCUUUGUUUACUCUUGAGGAGGUGGAAGCUUUAUGUUGAGAAAAGGACACAGAAUUUGUUGUUUUCUUGUAACAUGUGGCUGAUUGCUAAUCUUAUGGAAAUGAUGUAUUGAGCAGAUGAGACCUGAUUAAUAAUAAAUAAAGAUGCUGAGAAUGAUUUUUUGGGGGGGAAUUAAGCUUUUAUUUUAAUUCUUUUUAAACCCCCACAGAGUAAAGCCUCUUUAAGCUAGUCAGGUAAGCAAAGUCUGUAACCUGAGGAUUAUAUUACUCUGCUCCUUUGUGCCUUAGAAUUACUACAACCUCCAUUCAACUUGAAUUCAAAAUGAGGUGAUGUGCUGCUUGAUUCCCAGGUUGGAUUUAACUGAAAAUAAUACUAGAAAUGUGCAAGACUUGGGGUAUAGUUGAGCAGCAGAAUACAAGCUUGCUAAAAACACAUGCAGAUCUUCACGGCCUUCUGAGAGUGUAGUUUAAGAGUGGGUGAGCCUGUGAUAUUUAAUUUGCUGCUGCAGAGCUGAUAGGCUGGUGGAGGGCUCUUGGCUCUGUUUGGUGAAUUGCUGUCUUACACCUAAAUGUGCUUUUUCUCAAGGAGCAGAAGCAGGGUAGGAUGCUGCACAGAAACUCUUGCUGUUGAACACCUCAGUGGGCUGUAAAAUAACUUCCAGGCCCUAACAAACUUGAACCUGUUUCUCUGGGAGAGAAGGUCCUUCCUCCCAAACCAUAUUAGGGACAGGAAAUCUGGUCUUCAUUCCAAAUGUUUGAUUAACCUUGACUAUGCAGAGUUGUUCUUUUUUGGAGGAUGGUCAGGUUGUCUGUUAGACUUGUGAGUGAAAGGCAAUUUGUUACAAUCUCAACACCCACUGUAGUGGAGAACAAAGAAUUUCUCUAACUUGGAAAAUCGGCACUGUGUCCUAGGCUUGAGCGAGGUCAGGAGCGUGUUCCUGAAGUCAAGUAGUUGUCCUAUGCUAAUGCUGCUCAGUGAUGGCUACUUUGUAUGGUAUAAUCUGAGUAAUUUUGUAAUUAAUGGGUGACCGUGGUAAUCCCUUAAUGUUUAAACAAUUGCCGCACUUAGAAAAACAACUGUUGGCCAAAACACACAAUUAAGUUUUGCAUUGGGUAGCUUGCAUUUUGUGGAAAAGGAUUAUUUAUCUGCAAGUUCAUGGGUGCUUGAGUCCCAAGUGCAUUUGAGUCAGUCCCUCUUCCUUGUCUGUCUGCACUAUAAAAUCAGAGGGCUCUGUAGCUGAUUCUCUCUGUCAGUGAGUCUGGGAAACCAUGGAGUGCUGUAGAGAUGAGAAUUCUGCCAAUAUAAACUUUCCAUGGAAACAUUUAUCAGGAAAUUUAGUUGAAAAAAUAAGCUAACAGGCCAGCAUAGAUCAGCCUUCUCAUGUUGUCCUAAUGCUUCCUUUUCCCUGGCUAACCUGAUACUGAGGUGUUUGAGUAGUCUGAUAAUGGAUGAGUGCAGAUAGAGCCCAGUCAGAGCAGCAACCCUGCUCAGAACAUACAUCUUCAGCUUUUCAGAAAUGUCAUCUUGUGUUUCUGUGAAAAACACAGGGUUUAUGUCUUCAGGUUUUUAGAACGCAUUAAAUUUGCAUCACAAGUUACAGAGCUUUAGUGAAAGAUUCUCUGCAUUGCUGAACAAUCACCCAUAUAAUUUUCACCUUUUAUUUUUAAGGUAUGGUACCAGGGACUAGGAACUUGAAGCAUUAAGUGCUUGUGAGCAGAAUGCAGUUUACAGAAUUUCAGGGUAAAUCAAUGAGUUUUCUGUGAUGUUGUACUUGCAGUAAAGCUAGGAGUGUUGGAAAUUUAAUUUACCUUAUUUUCUAAAUACUCAGGGUUUCAGAUCAUGUGUUGAGAAUUGUUUUUUUAAUUGUAGAAGUGCUCAGUGGAGAUAAAUGGUCUAACUAAUAUGUCUGCUACAAAUACUGUGCUGCAUUUCUGUGCAGUUUCUUUCCAUCAACUUGUUCUCGCUGUAGCUUUCCUAAAACCCGUGGUUCUCAUAUUAAUACUGUUAAAUUCUAAAAUUUAAACUUGCAGAAAAAUCUAUCAUGUUGCAAUGAUAGAGUUGCAAAUUUUGAAGUGUUGCCAAAUCCAAGGCAAUCUGAUUUCUAAUGUGAUACUCUUGAAUAUUCAGAGUAUGCAAACAAGAGGAAGUUUUCUCUUACAAAGUUGGUGUCCUUUGGGGAGUGAGAGGCAUCUGAGACAAAUCCAUUGAUACAGUGUUAUUGAAUUUUUGCUAGAUAGCUUUAGUUAAGCUGUAUAACUUCUUUUUGAGGAAGACUGGUUUAAAAACAGAUUUCAAGUUGUUAAUUCAUAUUUUCUAUUUUAUAUUGCUAUUUUUUGCCUGGAGAUGGAAAAAUGGCUUGGAGGUGUGAGUAAAGCACCACAUCUAGUGCUUUGACAGUGGCAGGGAGAUCUCACUGAAGGGGUACCUUUGUCAGUCAGUGAAUCUUUACUGAUGAGUAUUGUUAGACACCUCAGCAGUUCAGUAAAGAAUGCUCAUCCCCAUUAAGCUGAAGCACCUUCCAGAUGACUUGGAUCUUAAUUUCUGGGUGAGGUUUAAUGAAAACACAUUUUGACUUACUGCUAGGAGCGUUGGCCUUUUUAAAAUGUGUGCUGCUAGCAGCUUCUGCUAAUUUUAGAUCAUGGGUUCUUGAAAUGCCACUAGUAGCUACAUACCUAAUAACACUGAAAAUAAAGGGACUUUUCACUCCCUGGAAGAUGUGUAAGAAACCACAGUACUAUGCAGCAGUUUUGUGUUGAAUUCCAUCGUGGUUGAAGCUUAGGAGUUCUCAACUGAUUAGCCCUGGGGUUUCUGUUCAGUUUCAAUUGUCCAGGCUGUGCAAACUUCAGGCACUGUAGCUGUGCCAGAAUGUGUAUUAAAUGCAAGUCCUAAUCCUGUGGGACAAGGGUCAGCAUGUUGGAAGUGACCUCUGUGUUGCAUCCAGAUGAAAAUGUAGCAGGAAGUUAUCUACCAAGUGCAUUUGUCCUGGAAGUUGAACCACUUCACUGAAAGCUUAUUUCAGUUUGCAAUAAUUCACUGUUUGCCGAAGAGAAUUAGAACUUUCAUUUGUCAUGAACCAGAGUGAAGAAUUAUAUAGCAGGUUGCUACUGCUUUAUGUCUGAAAAUAAUUGUGAAUAAUUUUUGCUUGGCUUCUGGCACUGUUAGUGUGAAACCUGGCUGAAAACAGCCAUUGCCUGUGUUACUGCAGUUGAAGAACCUCACAGCUUUGUGGGGGGAGUAUUUGCCAGCACCUGGUGAUAAUCCCCCGUUGUCCUAGACUCAGAGGAAUAAAAGCUUUGGAAAAGACUUCCUUUUCCUAAUGGCAGGAGCUAAAGUAGCAAUGUUUCUCCUGGUUUGAAUGUGAUCUGGAGGAGCAGAGGGCUGGUUGCUGCUCCUCAGGGCCACUGCCUUUGAUUUUAAUUAUUUGUCAUAUAAUUCAAGGUGACUUUUUCCUUGAGUUACCUAGAAAGAAACACUCACCAUUCAGAACUGGAUUUUAUUCCUCUCUGUCUAGGACAACACAGGAUUAUCACCUGGUGUUUGUAUUGAACGCUUAAAUCUGAUCAAGUGCUUGAUCCUGUAAUCGCUUGCAGUGAUUAUCUUUACAAACAAAGCUGCAAAAUACUAUUUUAUUUCCUAGAAAUACAUAGCAAGUGAGUAGGGCUGAUGCUUUGUUUGUCAACAGGAAGUGUUUUCUGGUGGAAAUAUUUCAUUUGGCACUGGAAGUGUGGCUCGUUUUGGUUUGUUUGUGAGCUUAGCCAGAUGGACAGGACUGAGCAUUGAGCAGUAAGAGUUGUUUAUUUUCUGGCUGAGCUGUAGCACUGCAGAGGUCCCCAGUCUUUGUUGUUUCAGACCACAGCUGAGUUGGACACCUUCAGUUUGUUCAGAAAGCAGAGCUGUGAUCUGUGUGCUGAUCAGGGGCAGCAAUCGAUUUUCCUUGGCUGCUGGCUGCUACUUAGAGCUAACUUUUAUUUCACUGGGUUUUGUGGAUCUGCAGAAUUCCUUCACUCUUGAGUCAUGUCUCAGAUCGAUUGGGACUGAGGCACUUGGAGAAGAUUUUAAGCAAAACAAUGGUACUUUUUAGGACUUGGUCAGAUGCUUACUUGGCUGUAACUGUUGCAAGAUGAUAACUGCAAUAAUAAAUAUUGCAAAGAAAUUGGAUCUUAUUGCAUUCUUUGAGCAGUUAUGAAAAUGACUUAGAGUUCUGGGAAAGAGAUGAAGAUCAGUCUAUUGAGGCUGAACUGGGAGAAAAGCAUUUUGACUUUGGCCUAGUCACUGUGCAGUGAAAAGAAUUUAUAUCGACUUUGAGCAACUGAAGUGAAAUACAGAAAGUCAAAAUACCAAGGGAGUCUGGUACUACUGUAAUGCAUUGGGGCUUGGCUGGGUUUGUUUGAUUGUUGUUGUUUGUUUUUUUUUUCUUUUUAGAAAUGACAGAAUCAGGCUAAUAGGCUAAUAAUUAUUAAACCUUUGCCUAGGAGCAGUGACAAUUGCUAUGGAAGGAUCUCAGAUACUUCUUUUUAAACAGCGGUAAAUACAGUAUAAAAACCAAGCCAAGGGGCUGAUACUCAACUCUGAAUUAGUGUUUUCAGCUCAUGCUUAUAACUGAAAAAAGAGUACACGUGCAUGUUAAAAGAUCAGUAUGAAUUUGAUUUCUUUGCUUGCUUUAAGACUCAGCUAUAAGAGCUUUUUACCCUUUGCUUUGUUAGAAAUAUUGAAUUGGUGAUGUUAAAGACAUUUGUUUGAAAAAUAACUUUACUUAUUGGUUUACAGAUCAGCUGUUUGAUAUUUGAUCUGAAAUUCAGGCAGUGGCUGAAAUGAAAACAAGUGAAGGGACCCCAACUUGCUACCCAUGUGAUGGAACAGGGAGAAUCCCAGGCAGGAAGGAAAAAAGAGUAAACUAAAAAGGCAGACUUGAGCCAAUUACACCUGGAUAAAUAUAAACUGAACAGAGGAACAAGACUGAAGAACUGAUUGAACUCACUUUUCUCUGUAAGUUGUUGUAUUAAGUUUCAUCUAAUUUAAUUUAACAAAUGUAAAGCUAUUAUGGGUGUUUUGUACAAAGGAUGGAGGGUAACGAGAGUAUUCAUUGGCUUGUAUAUUUUUAAAAAAUACUGUAAAUGGAGAUUACAAUCAGAGUUCUAUUGAAUAAAGUUGGUUACAUUGAAAAGAAUCUGUGAGGUAUUUGUAAUCUGAGGAGUGAAUAGACAAGGCAAAGUUCUGUGGGAUACUUUUAUUAAUUUCUUUUUUACUUAAACAGUUAGGGUAUCUUAUAGCCUAUGUGCUAUUGUAAAUAACCGAGGUCCAAUUUUACUUCCUUGCUGCUUAUUAUGGAACAAGUUAAGGUACAAUGCAUACACAUCAUUUGACUAAAAUCUGCAUGAGCACCAUUCUGAGAAUAAAGGGAGAAAGGAAUAAAAGAAGGGACCUCCACAAGGGAUUUUUGUAAGAAAUAAGAGAAUGUGGUUUCUCCUUCAGGUUGUAUUGUGCCUCUCCAAUGUGUUGCAGAUGGUGUUUCUGAUCCCCUCUGUUCUGCUCUAAACCAGCUGAGGUGUGCAUUUGUUAAAACCAGAAAGAUGAAAGGUGCAGUGAUCAAGUUCUCGCUGUCAAGGAAGGUACAGGUGGUACAAGUGGAGAAACUUGUGGAUCAUGACAAGAUUCAGCUUGAUCUGCAUUUUAUAGCCAGACCAGUUAGUGGUGAAUGUUAAUGAAGUAUCCCUGCUGCAGUGAGUAUAGACUGGCUGAUCCAUAGCGAGCACCCUUCAGUGCUUUGGAAAUUUGAGGCUUUGCAGAUACCAGUACCUGUUUCCAGUAAGAAAGAGGCUGAUAUUACUUGAAGGAAACUUGACUGACACAUGAACAAGAUGUAUCUUUUGAGGGCUUAUUGCCAAGUGUGGAUUUGUACUUAAGCGGAUGUAAUUGCAUGGACUUUGUACUGGAUUGUUUGACAGAUUAAAUUUCUAUGAUAGUAUGAGAUAACAGGAGGUCACAGUCCAAGAAUAAGGUUCUGGAGUGUAUGUAUUCGCAGCUGGGGUGCUAAUCUGAUUAAUUGAGAGCUGCUUCAAUUCAUAAUAAAUUCAUGUUGCCGGAUCCAAGAAUGUCAGUGCCAGUUGUCAGUGCCAGUUAUAUGUGAAGUCUGUGCAUUGAGAAUGGUCUUUUGCACUUGUGCUGGGAAAAUCUGAGCAGGGUCUCCACUUGGCAGCAUCUAAAGCCCGAAGUAGCCACAGCUGGCAUGCAAGGUUAUGCUAAAAAAAAGAUUUGUUUGGGUUUUUCUACCCUGGUCAUCAGGCUAAGAACUACAUGGAUGCGGGGCAGUGUUUCACUGUCAGAUGCAGAGUGCAAUAUAAAUCUGUCUGGCUGUGGCAUUAAGGAAGUAGAGGUCUUAGAUGUAAUGCUUGGUCAGUGCUGGGUAUCAGCACAUGGGCUCUGAUAGCAGCUGAUAUGCUAUUUUUAGAACCCCUGAGGAGCAGUGAUCCCAAAGUGUUGAUUUGCUGCCUCUUAGGUCAGUGCAUGGGAGAGCUGAGCCUGGGCCCUGGGCAACCACAGCCUCUUCCUGCAGUGCCAGCACUGUGCUGGAAACGGGGGCACCUGGGAGCUCUGCCUCUUAUGUAAGAGGAGGAAAUUAUUGCCUGGGAUGAUGUAAAAGGAGCUGGGUAGCUCCGGGUGGCUGAAGUUGGCACCUCAGAGAGCUUCAUCCUUCUCGGACCGAAGCCUUGGUGAUGUGUUUGAAUCAGCACAGCUGCAUCUAAGCAGUGCACAAGCUGAUUUCUGCAACUUGCUUCUUUGGAAAGGAUGUUAUUUGCUGCAAAGGAACUGGAAGAAGAUGGCAUUUCGAGUAUAGGUAUGAUGUUUUUCAGCCUUCAGUCCAGUUUCUGUUCUGGAAUAAUGCCUUUGAGCAGGUUUCCUAUUUAGAAACAGGUGUCUUAUCACUGAUUUUUAAGUAAUGCACUAAUGAAGAAUUGCUUGGAACACAAACAAGUUGAUCUUGCCAGAAUUACUCAGGCGGUACCUUGCAGCUGGAGCUGAUGAAAAUUCAGUCCUCUCUGUAGGUAUUCAGCUUGUGUCAUGUGACAGGGAGAUGUGUUUGGCGGAGACAAAUUUAAUUUAAGAAAGCCCAUUAAGUGGAUUGUAAGGUAGAUGCAGUAAUUCAAUAAGCUGAAGUGAUUCAUAUGCAAUCCUGAUAAUUUUCAAGAGGCUCUUUUUGCAUUGCAGGUAAUUUUGUAUUUGUACUUAAGGUUUUUGCUUGUGCAAGUGGUAACCUGGAGAUGUGGCUGAUACUAGAGGCUUUCUGAAAAUCGGUGAUAUGUAACUACUGCUUUAGGUUGUACAGAAAGCACUAAGGUUCUGUGAGGUCUUCUGAAAGCCUGGAUACACAAACAUUGUUACAGUUAGAGAGAAGCUCUGGAAUGAAAACCCUGGAGGAACAGACAAAUAUUCUAUUAAAAACAUCUGAAGCAAGGUAAUGAUCUAUACAAGGGGAAUGUUUGGAAACAGUUAAUUUAAUUAAUUAAUGUGUCCUCUUUGCUCAUCUGAAAAAAGCUUUUAGAAAGGACUGCAGACAUCUGCAGUGCUUUUUAAUAUUUGAUGGGCUUCUACAAUUCUCCUUACAGAAAAUUCAUGACCUGUUCUAUUUCUGUGAGGCUGCUUCAGUGAAAGCAUGAUGGAGAUAAGUCAGAUUCCUUAUCUUCCUGUUGAGACACCAAAUCUUCUGCUGCAGACUUAGUAGUGUUUUCUUCUUGUGUUUGUGAGCUUUCCACCAAUAGGUAAUUUUUAGGGAUCUGAAACUGAAUUACUUGCCCUGGAUGCUGCUUCAGCUGGUGCCUGGACUGAGUGCUUUGGUCAGGCAGGGCUUCACUGCCUGCUGCUGUUAGGAUCCUUAUUGCAAAGAAGAUAUUGUGAGGGUUCAGCAAAACCCUUAGUAGCAGCUCAGCAUGACUUGUGUAUAGAGAAAGCGCAGUGCAGGUAGAUGCAACAAAAUGAAUGCAGAAUGUAACAGGCUUCAAAACGUGAUGCUUUCAGUUUGAGAAAGUCAUGGAAACCUGAACUCUGUCAGUCUGUGGGGCCUGUAAUCCUCCUCAGUGAUGUGCUUCCCUUGGCUUUCCUUACUUUCUGGCAAAGGAAGCCUCAGUGGCAUUUGAUUUCUCCUCCUCGCAUUGAAAACUUCCAUAGAAGCCCCCUGAAGGCAUUUUUCGUGAUAAUGUUUGGUUAAAGGAAAAGAUAUGCUAUUUCUGAAAUGUUUGAAAAGAACUGCUUAUUCCCAGAUUUUUUUUUUUUUGCCUAAGUGAGAAAAAUAAGAAGUUUACAUAGUAAAACCCCUACUUCUCAAAGUGGUUUACUUCUUUUCAAACCCUUCUUAGAGGUAUCUUGUGUAUACUGUAGCCACAAGAUGGAGUCAAGUUUUAGUUGUGGGGAAUGUGCAGUUUUGGCAUUUCACAUGAUUGUGAUAUUCACAAUUUUAGACUACCCAGAAUCUUUCUAGCCUGAAUGCUGCUGCUGAAGUCAGUUUUCCAGUGCUUAACCAUGGUCUGUUAUGGAGAAGAUUGAAAAUUAGUUGUUUCACAUCAGGCCAAGGUUUGGAAAUGUCAGUUGAGUGUUACUGGAGUGGUUCAGGUAGUUAAAAAAUGGCAAAAUGAAACUUUUGGCUGGCAGAACUCAGAGUGCUGCGGUUUCACUGUUCCUGAAUGUGGAAUCAGUAAGGUUGGAAAAGACCUCCAGGAUCAAGUUCAGCCUUUGUCCAGUCACCACCUUGUCAAGCAGACCAGAACACUGAGUGUCCCAUCUAGAGACAAUCCUGCAGUGGCAUUAAUUUGAGCUUCCUUUCAGAACUAUUUUCUGUGGAGAACGUCUGAAAAUAUAGUGGCAUUAGUUAAGACUCAGUUAAUGUCUGCAAAUGUAUUUGAAUGUUAAAUUAGGGGAUAAUAAUGAAAAUGUGAUGUGACAGAAAGUUUGUCAUUAAUGAUGAAUAAACUUCAUAUGCAUAACACAAAAAUUUAUGUCUGUGCUUUUAAGGAUCUUAACUUCAGGUUUUUUUUUUCCUUUAGGGAGUAUCCACAUUAAGAAAUGCCUUUUUUGGGGAGUUCAGAUAUGUUGUAGGCCUCGGCCAUAUUAUUGUUAUCCCAGGAGCAACAGGUACAAGUAAAUGCUAAGGUGGUAAUAAUGAGCAGUGCUCCUUGUCUGAUAAUACACAGAAUUCAUGACUUUGCUUCAAGCUGUCUCUUUAGGAAGACAAACACAUGGAAACCUCUUAAAAACCCCCAAUACAGUAGCAGCAACAGCAGCAAAAAACCUGCUACUGCUACAUAAAUCCAACCCCCAAACUGUUCUAUUUUUUUUUUUUUUUUUGGAAUGAAACACUAAUUAACUUCUGCCCAAUAUGAACUCAUCUGAGCUUGGUGCCUGUCAAAAGAACAUGUUAAUUGUAUAAUGUUAAUAACACACAAAAAAUUGGACUCUUGGUAAACAUAAAUACAUGCUGGUGGUAUUUACUGUAUUUGGAACCGCAACGAAUAUGAUCCAGUGUCAGCUUUAAUAAAAAAAAAUGAGAUAUGGGGCUCUGUAGGAUUUUCCUGAUGCUCAGCCUCUUGUCAAUUGAACUCUUGGCAGCCUCAGUGCCUGCUUGGAUCUUGCAUCCUGGAGAUCCUGGUGGUGACCAAGUCCAACCACAUGGUUUGAAAAAUGGAUAGCAGGGAAUUCUCUUAACUUUCAGAAUUUUAGGUGCUAGGAACAGAAAUAUUUUAGAGUUGGAUUUUAAAAAAUUGUCCUCUCAUAUAUAGGUGAUAAGUCCUUUUCAAGCCAGGAUUUAACAGAGGCAGACUUAACAUGAGGUGGUAAAUUGUAGCUGCCCCACCCCUGGAAGUGUUCCAGGCUAGAGUGGAUGGGGCUUGGAGCAACCUGGGGUAGUGGAAGGAGGUGGAACUGGAUGAACUUUAAGGUCCCUUCUAACCCAAACCAGUCUGAGACUCUGUAAGUAGCAGUUAUAAAUGAAUUGAGGCUCUUAUGAAGUCUUGUUAUAAUAUACCAAAGCAAUAUUGUCAAGCUGCUAAAAGCAUUCUGACUCUGGAAAUGGAAAAGAGAAAUUUGGGUAAGUUUCUGAAGGCCCAGGCUAUGCAGAAUAAAUGGAGCAUUUCACUUUUGCAGGGACUUCAGUGAUUAAUUGAAAGUGCUCAGAUGCUGAGAACUGUGCAUUGAACUAAAGAAAGAGGAGAGGCUCUGUAAUCAGAGAAAGAACCUUCAGUUCAUCAAGGUGUUUUUAAUAAGCGUGCCUAAUCUGUAAAAAUAAAUAUAAAUUCUCACUGUUUGUGUGAAUAGAGAUGAAACAUUACACUAAGGACAGAGCAAGAUUGUUUUUACUGUGAUUAGCAAUAUUCCUAAUAUUCUUAAAAUAUUGGAAAGUAAUUGUUGGAUUGAUGGAUACUUUUUUUUAACCAGACAAUAUUUAUGUGACUAUAUUUAUGUAUCUAUUGGAGAACAGAGUAGCAAGAUAAAUACUGUGCUGUGGGCAGAUCAUUCUUGAUCAGUGGGUUGUAGCUGUGCAGAGGAGAAAAUGUAGCUGUUGCUCAUGAUCUCUUAAGGUGAAAUAUUGCUUCCCAUCGUGAAUCCUCUCUUCCAUGAGGAAGCAUUCUGUUAGUUUGAGUAGCUUUGCCUAAAAAGUAUUUACUACUGCCUCCAUCAGGACCUCUUCUAAUAAAAGGGAACACUUGGGCUUAUUCUGUGUUUAUUUUCAGUUGAUUUUGUGGAGUUUUGCCAUUCACGUAUCCUCAGCUAUGACCAUCUAUAAACUGGGAUAUGGCAAAGUAAUUAACAUUCAUAAUUGGUAUGUUAAUAAAAGCAGAAUUGGUUGGUACAUGAGGGAUUCAAAUGCCUGUAAUUCAGGUGACUUUUGGAAGCAGAAGGAUGUUGAGGUGAGAGUUUGCUGUGAUGUCAGUCAGUGAAAUUCCAAAGAUUACUGGCAAGUGAGGCUAAAAUCUUCUUCCAGGAACCUGGUAUUGAAGACUCAUUUGCUAAUGAGUAUCCAGGGGUUUGGAAUCCCAUAAACCUUUAAUACUGGCUCUAGGCCUUGCAGGUCUUGACUUGAUGGGAAAUACAAUAUUCUGUUUUAAAUGUAGUCAGUUUUCUCUAGUUGGAGUAGGAGGUAUAAUAUGCAAAAGGGAAACAGCAUAAAUAUGUGCUGUGCAUAGGGGAUGAAACAGUCUGAAUUAUGAUCAUGAGCUUACAGCAUGUUAAAAGAGUGUUUUUUUUAGAAAAUGGCAAAGUUGGUACUUGAGUAGAUGGAUAAAUGAAAAACAGCAUACAAUCCUUGCAGAGGAGUAAGAAUACAAAACGAUUUUCAACUUAAUAAAAUGCUUCUAUCAAUAUUGAUGUCUGACUCAGUAUUUCUAGAUCUGGUUAUUUGAUUAUUGACAGGGAUGAGUGCAAGAGAAGCCUGAAGAAGGAUGAGGGUAGUGUGUACUCUGUUUUCGUGAAAUAUGUGACUGCAGAAUUAAUGACAUACUUAAUUUUUUUUCACAAUAAGACAAAAGCUUUUUUAUUAACAAACACUUGUCCUGCCUUCUAAAUUUUAAGUCUCUGUGAAUAUUUUGCUUAAAGCAGCUUCUGCACAGGAAUUGCAGUUCUGGGAAAACAUCUGAGAGGGAUCAUAGACACACUAAACAGAGCUGUUUGAUCUUGGCGCAGGAGCUUUCUGGUUGAUGAUCUUUCAUUCCCUUAAACAGCUGCCUAAUUAGUCAGCCUUAAGGGCCAGUUUAUCUGGACAUACUGGAAAAAAAUGUGACAUUGCUUGUCCCAGACUCUUGGUAUUCAGGACUUAGUACAAAAGGGCAGUUUGGGUUCCUUUUCCUCCUAGAUUACUGGGGAUAGAUCAGCCUGGGACUGGAUAUUUAAACUAAUAUUAUUAAAUCAGUGUGGCCUUUCCACUUCUGCUGGGACUAAUUUUUACUCCUUUUUUUGCUUACUUUCCUGUUAUGAAAUUUUGACUUUUUUUCCAUUAAUGAAGCUUAAUUAUGAAGUGAAAUUUGGUUGUUUUAAAAUUUCUUUAUGUCAUAGCUUGAAAAUAUUUUAUUGUAUUUUAAAACUCAACACAUCUGUAAAACCAUGGGGAAUUUAAAUUACAUCAAGCCUGACUUAAAUGGUAAGUACUUAGUUCUUAUGGAAACUGGGCUAAAACCUUGAAGGAUUCUGAUAUGUGGAGUCCUUACACCCAAAUCAAUCCAAGUUGAGAAUAUUCUGUUGUCAGACAGGGAUUAGUCCUGGAUGCCUUCAGGUGCUGGUUCCUCACAGCCAGCACCAACCUGGACCAGAUAAAGGUAGAGCAGGUUUUUUCAAGCACAAUAUGAACAAACUCAUAGACACAGGUUCAUUCUCAGAUGUAAACUAUGGCAGGCAUUGAGGAACAGCUAAAAAUCAGGUUUAGCAACUGUACGGUUUUUAAAGAUUAAAUUAAUGCAGCCUGGUGCUAUCCAUGUAAGGAAAAAACAAACCCCAUGGGUGAAUCCCAGAUUUAACUUUGAUCAGGGGCAUUCAGAUUAUUUAUUGAAACCAUUUUUCCAUGGUAACAUUUCUCUCUCACUCCCCAAAUUGAAAUUUACUAUUUAAAACCUAAAGGAGUUUUUUUGCCAUGUUUCUGCACAGUGUUUUUGUGGAUGUUGCUCACUCUUGAAGAGGCAUCACCAUAGCAGCAGUCUCUUAGAGAAUUUUGUGGCUCUGCUUGUGGAUCAGUGAGCAGCACUGUCUUGGAUGGAUCAGAGCAUGUUUUGCUCACUGAAUUUCAAAGAACAAGUGAAUCUGUAUUGUUUAUCAUGAGAUGAAAAGGUUUUGCAUUUCCCUUAAGUGGAUCAUCAUUUUGACUUUAUUGUGAAAGUUAAGCAAGUUGCAUGAAAAAAUGAGUUGUGCAAACUUGAGUGUAUUUUAGGAACACAGUGUGGUAAAUAAAGAGUAUGAAAUAUUUCAGAAAAGAUCUCAUUUUUAAAUUGACUGCAUAAAAUAAUGCAAGUUAACAGUAGUGUAGCCACAGAACAGUUUUGCUUGGGCUGAAGCAUCAUGAUACUGCAGUGCUGAUGGGAAAGUACUUAAUUCACUGCUUACAGAAAUCUUCUGAUCAAAUCACUCAGUGGAGUUCUUGGAUCUAUAGAAAGAGGAAAUGGAAAUUUUCCUUGUUACGUGAUAAGUGAGGAGCUUUGAGACAACCUGGUGGGUUUUGGUGAGACUAAACUUGUCCCAGGGCUCUGCAGCUGAUGGAAUUGGUAGUGGUUUUACAUACUAUUUAAAAUGUUGCCCUCUUCUGGUUGCUGACAACUAUGAGAGUUGGGGAUGAGGAGCAGUACCACAAAUAACAUAAAAAGGUCUGGGAAAAAGGAAAGCAUGCAUUUUAUUCUGCAUUAGAACAAAUAGUUUUGAUAACUUAAAAUAAUCUAAUACUUUACAAAGAGCAGCUGAAUAUAAGAUAAAUUUUCAGGCACAUUAGAGUAUCCCACUUAAUAAGGGUUAAUGUAGGGGAAGCAAGAUUGUAGAGACCACCAGCCUUCAUUAGUGUUAAAAAUGUUUCGAUGUGCCUGAAUUGUAGUGUUUAUUUAUUUUGUUGUUAACUUGUUUUGAAGAACUGGUUUGCAGAAGAACUAUGACUUUGUGUAGGAAUAGAGGCUGGGAAUGUGAUUGCCUUGGGAUGUUUGUGCUAGUCCAGGAAUUCUUUUAAAUAGGAGCUGUUAGUGCUUCUGGUGCUCUUCUGCUCCACCCCUAGAAGUGUCCAAGGCCAGGUUGGACAGGGCUUGGAGCAGCCUGGGACAGUGGAAGGUGUCCCUACCCAUGGCAGCGGUGGAAUGAGUUGGGCUUUGAGGUCCCUUCCAACCCAAACCACUGCAGGAUUUUCUGAUUUUAUAUCUAAUGUGUUACCAGUAAAGGCUGUGAAGUUUAAUGGGAAAUCACAUUAAUACUUUAAAUGGACUCUUAGGCUGUGGCUCCUGCUGUUGAUUUUCAACCCAAAGAUAAAUUUCAUACACGGGUAGGGAGGACUAAAUUCUAGACAUCAGAAAAAAAGUGGUGUGAGGUCUGUAAGUUGGCCUGUACCUUCAGGUGUUUUGGAAUUGAAUGAUUUGUGUUCUUCUUUCUCACUCACUUAAUUAUCAGUAUUUCUGAAAUGAGGGUUUUUUUAAAAAAAAAAUUAAGUGUGAACUGGGUCUGGAGGGGGUUUAUAAACCAGGAGCAGCUCUUGCCAGUAGAUGGAGGUAAUGAGAUACAGAAGCCAAACUGGAUUCUCUUGUCCAUUGAUGAUAGGAUAAAAGCCAAGUGAUAUGUAGGAAAAAGGAGAACUGUAGUUUGUUUUUGCACUUCGUAAGACUUGCAGAAGAAAUUUAAAAAGUCAUCUUAAAACAGGACUCGGACUCAAAAUGCUGCUGGACAAAUUUUCCUGUAUCGGGGAUUUUCCUGGUUUUUCUCCAUUUUCUACACUGUUUAUGCAAGUAAUUAGUAUUCUUUCUGUAAGACUGUUUUGGGGCUCUUCUAACAGUAUGAGUCACAAUGAGAAUUGAUUCUCUCACAGCAGUUUUCUAGUUUGCCUUCUGGUUUAUAACACUUCACUCUGUUUUUUAAAAUUAGAUAGAGGAAAGAAGCUGGUUUAGCUGAAUCCAGGCUCUGAGGGUGCGUGUCUGUGUUUUGUGAGGGUUUAUCCUGUUGGACAAGACCCAGAGACUUGUUUACAGUAUAAAAUUGGCCUGUUAUCCUCAGAACCUACAAGUUAAAUCCUCUUUUUGAUAGUUACAUGUAUUUAACCUCACAGAUAGUAGUAGUUGCAGCAGCAUAGUGCUGUCUUUGCCUAGAGUAGUAGGACAGUUUUUAAUGUCAGUUUUGAGGAUGCCUUUACAAUUUAUUUUUAUGUUGCCAUUCCCACCUGCUCUAUAUCUAAAGAAAUACUUGCAGUCAGUCCUCUUAAGUGAAGAAUUUUAAGUUGCAUCAUUUUGAGAGGGCCUUCACAGGACAGUGCAACUUGGUGCACAAUAACUUCCAUGUGCUGGACUGCUGCCUUUGGAUUGGAAACCCUGAGAUUAUUCUACUUUCAAUGUAUUUACUACUUCACAGGCUGAAACUGAAGCCUCUGAACCUCUGAGCUACUCACUUUAAUUAGAAAAUUGCCCAGAGGUGUCAGGAGUAUUGGUGUUGAAUAAGUACCUGUUGUGGGACUUGUGCUUCGUGCUCAGCUCUUGGUUUGGAGAGAGAGCUCAGAUCCCUGUGCUUCAACUUUUAAAUCUCUUUCCACAGGAAGAGUUAUGGGAGGUGUGGCUGACACUGAGAGUUCACAGGUCAAGGUUAAACAAAAACAAAACAGAAACCCAGAGCUGAAACAUUUCAGACAGCACGAGAGCAGUUUAAGCAUUCCCAGCAUGUUUUUGCUUAGUGAGAUAUGUAUGACUGUGAGUUCAGAGGUUCUUUUUUUAAAGGAAAAAUGCCUAAGGAGAUGUAAUUUUUCUUAGCACUGUCACAAAUUUUAUAGAUGUUGGCACUAACUCUUUUUUUCCUCAUAUGCAAAAGUAGAACUCUCCAUAAAUUGACUGUCACAGCUUUGUGGAAAAUUGCCACUCAUGGUGAACUGUUUUAUGACAAUUAUGCACCGUCCAUAGAAUAAAUGAACUUAAUAUAAGCAAUUUAUGGGUCUGUAGUUUUCCUUUCCUCCUGUUUUACAGCAGUGAGACUAACUGUGAGCUUUCUAGAAACUUGUUUGUGCAGGACCAUAUGGAAAACAAUGCCCUGGAAGGCGUGCUUGCUGGUAUGGAAAUAGCACUUGGAGUCAUUAGUUUGUGUGAGUAACCUUCCUAAAAGAGGUAAUUCUGACUUUAGGAUGCACUUCUGUGUGUGUAAGGGUAUGCACAUGUGCUGUGGGUGUCUGGAAUGCUGUACCAAAGAUUUCUAGAGCAAAUAAAUGUACUGGGAGUUGAGAAUGAGACUAUCUCCCAGGCUGGGUUGAGGGUGAAAGGAAUAUUUAAAUGUCCAGGGUUCACAUCUAGGGAGAGCGGAGAAUGAAUGUGUUAAAGAAGGGAUUAAGGAUUGGGUAUGUAGAAUUUUGAUUGUGGAUGUCUCAAGAAACUUCCCUGCUUAAAGGUUUGUGAGGUGGCACUGAGGCAGCUGAAUAAUGCAAGGCUGAAGGGUGUUGGGGCACUGACCAGGCUCCCCUGGGAAUGAUCACAGUCCCAAGGGUGCCAGAGCUCCAGGAGGGUUUAGACAACUCUGUCAGGCCCAGAGUGGGAUUGUUGGGGUGUCAAUCCAGGGCCGGGAGUUGGAUUGAUGAUCCCUACGGGUCUCUUCCCACUUAGGAUAUUCUGUCAUUUUGUGAAAUAACAGAACUGAAACAAUUCACAAAACACAGUGCCAAGUCUUUCCUCUUCUAGGGUUUCUAUCAGCCUGUGCACACAGGAGUAGAGCUCAAUCCAUGGAAGCUUCCUAAAUCUCUUAAUUCAGUAUUAGUGUGUAAGGCAUGGCAUAGAAAUUCUGAUUGCAAGUUAUCAUUGCUUUAUUUGAUUAGGGCAGCUUUUCCUGUGUUUUGUCAGUUCAGGUGUUCUUUUUAGGGUGAUGGGUUUACUGCUGCUAGGAAAAAACUGGCCCCUGACUGUGGCAGAGACCUGGAAUUUCAGAUAACUCUGGGCUGUUGCUCUAAAAACUUGACAUUUUGGGGCACCUUUGGUGGCCAUACGUGUUUCUGAACUCUAGCUGCCAGUUCAGUUCCUGGGGUGAAUUUUAGUGUCCAACUUGCCACUUUACAUCAAAACCCACAGCUGGAAUCUAUAAUAAAAAUAACCUCAGCUUUUAUAUUUUUUACUUGCUCCAGGUUAAAAUAGGAGCAGUAGUUUAUCUAUUACACUUCUGUGUUUAUACUUCUUACUGAAUCUACUUGUAAAUUUGCAGUGAUAAGUUAGAAAUGUGGGGCAUGCUGGCCAUUAAUCUGAGGCUAAGCUUGGUAGCAAACUGUGUUCCUCAGUGCUGCUAAAUAAUGCUGAGGAGCUCAUUGAAAUGGUCGCUUGAAUUUUAAAAGCCCCCACUCUGAUUCAGACAAGGCCAGCAGUGAGCUGUUAAGAUGCAGCUCUGUACAGAUGUAGGAGCUGAGCUCAAUAGUUCCCUUCUCCUGCCCACGGAGCCGGGAGAGGGACAGGCAGCGUGUGACAGGGGAACAGUUGUGGCAAUGAAGCCUCCAAAUCCGGGGAUCCCAGAGCCUGCUGUGUGUGAGGAUUGUUCAUGGGAUGUGCAGGCUCCUUUCUGCUUUCAGCUGGAGGGGAAACCUGGGGAAGACAGCUGGGGACUGCUGCAAGAGAGGAUGUAAUAGGAAAAUCUGGAGGGAAAGGUCUUUGGCACUGUGCUGUUAAAGGAAAGCUGGUGAUUUGGAGAAGGGCUGGAGGAUGUCAGUGGUGGAAAUGAGAAGAUUUGGAAGACAGAAGGCAAAA